rnacentral:rRNA from 1 species
UAUCAUUAAGCGGAGGAAAAGAAACUAACAAGGAUUCCCUCAGUAACGGCGAGUGAAGCGGGAAGAGCCCAGCACCGAAUCCCCCGGCCUGUCGUCGGCGGGAACUGUGGUGUAUGGGACGCCAACUGCCCACGGCGUUAGUGGCCGAAGUCCUCCUGAUCGGGGCCUCUCCCAGAGCGGGUGUCAGGCCUUUACAGGCCACCGGCCCGUGGGCUGCGAGCGUCUCCGGAGUCGGGUUGUUUGGGAAUGCAGCCCUAAGCGGGUGGUAAACUCC